rnacentral:tRNA from 1 species
GGGAGUGCUGCUCAAUGGUAGAGCACUUGCCUGGUAUGUGCAAGGCCUGGGUUUAAUUCCCAGCACUGCAA